GUAUCCAACCUUCCGUUUACUCAGGGAUAGCCUUUCGAAAGAAAGAUUAAUACCUGAUAGUAUGGUGAGAUUGCAUGAUAACACCAUUAAAGAUUUAUUGGUAAACGAUGGGGAUGCGUUCCAUUAGGUAGUAGGCGGGGUAACGGCCCACCUAGCCUGCGAUGGAUAGGGGUUCUGAGAGGAAGGUCCCCCACAUUGGAACUGAGACACGGUCCAAACUCCUACGGGAGGCAGCAGUGAGGAAUAUUGGUCAAUGGGCGAGAGCCUGAACCAGCCAAGUAGCGUGAAGGAUGAAGGUCCUACGGAUUGUAAACUUCUUUUAUACGGGAAUAAAGUAUCCUACGUGUAGGAUUUUGUAUGUACCGUAUGAAUAAGCAUCGGCUAACUCCGUGCCAGCAGCCGCGGUAAUACGGAGGAUGCGAGCGUUAUCCGGAUUUAUUGGGUUUAAAGGGAGCGCAGACGGGAGAUUAAGUCAGUUGUGAAAGUUUGCGGCUCAACCGUAAAAUUGCAGUUGAUACUGGUUUCCUUGAGUGCAGUUGAGGCAGGCGGAAUUCGUGGUGUAGCGGUGAAAUGCUUAGAUAUCACGAAGAACCCCGAUUGCGAAGGCAGCUUGCUAAACUGUAACUGACGUUCAUGCUCGAAAGUGUGGGUAUCAAACAGGAUUAGAUACCCUGGUAGUCCACACGGUAAAC
rnacentral:rRNA from 1 species